UAUCUCUGUAGAGUCUGCAUAUCAAUAAGCGGAGGAAAAGAAACUAACAAGGAUUCCCCUAGUAACGGCGAGUGAAGCGGGGAAGAGCUCAAAUUUGAAAUCUUCAAGGUUCUACCUUGACGAAUUGUAGUUUAUAGAAGUGUUUUCUGUUAGUGGAGUGGCAAAAGUUCUUUGGAAUAGGACAUCAUAGAGGGUGAGAAUCCCGUAUUUGGUCCAUUCCUUUCUAGCUUUGUGAUACACUUUCAAAGAGUCGGAUUGUUUGGGAAUGCAGUCCAAAAUGGGUGGUAAAUUUCAUCUAAAGCUAAAUAUUGGCGAGCGACCGAUAGCGAACAAGUACCGUGAGGGAAAGAUGAAAAGAACUUUGAAAAGAGAGUUAAACAGUACGUGAAAUUGUCAAAAGGGAAGCGUUUGACACCAGUGUUGUUUUCUCGAAAAUCAAUUAAAAAUGGCCGGAUUUCGUGUUGUAUUGACUUUAUCAGCUUUCUGCACUUUUUUCUUGUCUUUUUUAAUGCACUUUUUGUUUAACAAGUCAACAUCAAUUUCUUUUGUUGUAAAAGAGUCAUUGGAAGGUGGCUUUCACUUCGGUGAAAGUGUUUAUAGCCUUUGACUUCUGCAAUCGGAGAGAUUGAGGUCUGCAGCGUAGAUUCUUCGGGGUUAGAUACAUUUGUGCUAAGUUAUAGUUUUUCAUAGACAACAUGUUGACUAUGAUUAAUCAUGUAGCUUACUCGCUUAUGCUAUUUUACCUACGCUUAGGAUGUUGAGUAGCGACAUACGCAC
rnacentral:rRNA from 1 species